rnacentral:rRNA from 1 species
GGAAGAUUAAUACAAGAUGGCAUCAUGAGUUCACAUGUUCACGUGAUUAAAGGUAUUCCGGUAGACGAUGGGGAUGCGUUCCAUUAGAUAGUAGGCGGGGUAACGGCCCACCUAGUCUUCGAUGGAUAGGGGUUCUGAGAGGAAGGUCCCCCACAUUGGAACUGAGACACGGUCCAAACUCCUACGGGAGGCAGCAGUGAGGAAUAUUGGUCAAUGGGCGAGAGCCUGAACCAGCCAAGUAGCGUGAAGGAUGACUGCCCUAUGGGUUGUAAACUUCUUUUAUAAAGGAAUAAAGUCGGGUAUGGAUACCCGUUUGCAUGUACUUUACGAAUAAGGAUCGGCUAACUCCGUGCCAGCAGCCGCGGUAAUACGGAGGAUCCGAGCGUUAUCCGGAUUUAUUGGGUUUAAAGGGAGCGUAGAUGGAUGUUUAAGUCAGUUGUGAAAGUUUGCGGCUCAACCGUAAAAUUGCAGUUGAUACUGGAUAUCUUGAGUGCAGUUGAGGCAGGCGGAAUUCGUGGUGUAGCGGUGAAAUGCUUAGAUAUCACGAAGAACUCCGAUUGCGAAGGCAGCCUGCUAAGCUGCAACUGACAUUGAGGCUCGAAAGUGUGGGUAUCAAACAGGAUU